UCCGCAGGGGUAGGAUUAAGUCUGAUGUGAAAUACCCUCGAGCUUAACUCAGGAACUGCAUUGGAGACUGGUCUACUAGAGUAUCGGAGAGGAGAUUGGAAUUCCAGGUGUAGCGGUGGAAUGCGUAGAUAUCUGGAAGAACACCGAAAGCGAAGGCAGAUCUCUGGACGAUUACUGACCCUCAGGGACGAAAGCGUGGGGAGCAAACA
rnacentral:rRNA from 1 species